AACCUGGCAACCCUAAUAUGGACAGAUGGUCGGACUGGGUAGAGGCAACCUCCUGUAUUCCUAUGUAACUAAUACAUUUCUCUUCUGUUGGGAGCAGCAGCCAGUUUUUGGAUCCAAGAAAACAGACUCUUAUGAUUAUCACGAAAUGGGUGUCUGGAUUUUAAGAGGUGGGAGUCUCCUGGCCCAGACUUGAGGACAGAAGAAGUGGUGGCAUCAGGGUUGGUCUUAUAUCAUGGUCAAUUCACAACUGCUGUUUGCCUGCAAGAGCUGGUUCUCAGGGUUGGGGACCCAAAGAUCUUGGUUUGUGUGUGUGUGCCCUUGCAUGUGCCCAUCUCAAAAACAAACCAUAAAACUGUUGGAAACCAGAUG